CAGUCGCCGCGGGAAUACGUAGGUGGCAAGCGUUGUCCGGAAUUAUUGGGCGUAAAGGGCUCGCAGGCGGUUUCUUAAGUCUGAUGUGAAAGCCCCCGGCUCAACCGGGGAGGGUCAUUGGAAACUGGGAAACCUGAGUGCAGAAGAGGAGAGUGGAAUUCCACGUGUAACGGUGAAAUGCGUAGAGAUGUGGAGGAACACCAGUGGCGAAGGCGACUCUCUGGUCUGUAACUGACGCUGAGGAGCGAAAGCGUGGGGAGCGAACAGGAUUAGAUACCCCAGUAGUCCCUGUCUUUUAUAC
rnacentral:rRNA from 1 species